rnacentral:rRNA from 1 species
UUUCAAUGGAGAGUUUGAUCCUGGCUCAGAGUUAACGCUGGCGGCGUGCCUAACACAUGCAAGUCGAACGGAGCGUACCAGAAUAUCGGGCGCUUAGUGGCAGACGGGUGAGUAACACGUAAACAACCUGCCCUCAAAAGGGGGAUAACCUGACGAAAGUCGGACUAAUACCCCAUAUAAUCAGGUCUCAGCAUUGGGAUUUGAUGAAAGGCCCGCAAGGGUCGAUUGAGGAGGGGUUUGCGGCCUAUCAGCUAGUUGGCGGUGUAACGGACCACCAAGGCAAUG